rnacentral:rRNA from 1 species
UACGUAGGGUGCAAGCGUUGCCCGGAUUUAUUGGGCGUAAAGGGCGCGUAGGCGGCUCUGCACGUUCGUUGUGAAAUCGCCUGGCUCAACUGGGCGGGGUCAGCGGAUACGGCAGAGCUUGAGCAAGCUAGGGGGCAAUGGAAUUCCCGGUGUAGUGGUGAAAUGCGUAGAUAUCGGGAGGAACACCAGUGGCGAAGGCGACUUCCUGGCCUGUUCUUGACGCUGAGGCGCGAAAGCUAGGGGGAGCAAACGGGG